rnacentral:lncRNA from 1 species
CUUGGCAGCGCGGCUCCCGUGACUCAGCCGCCAGCCCAGCGCUGGCCCUGGUUGACACCCGCGAGGAGGCGACGCUCGGCCCGAGGCGCCCGCCGAGGUGGGGGUCGCCGCUCGCCCGCGCUUUACGGCUGCCGAAAACAGGCCCCGCCGGCCGCCGUACCGCAGACCCGCGGCGCCGCUCAGGAAAUGAGCGUUGAAUGGUGAGCACCUGGAUGAAGAGGCCAGGGAUCAGACUGUCAGCCUCCUGCUACAGCAAACGCCCUCCCAUAUCACUAAGAGCAUUCAAGUAAAGGUAAAAAGAUGGCUUAUCAGAAGGUGAAGGCAGAUCUAAGAACCUCAGGACAUUCACAGUACUUAGACAAUGAUGAACUUCAAGCCACUGCCCUUGAUUUAGAGUGGGAUAUGGAGAAGGAACUGGAAGAGCCGGGCUUUGAUCAGUUUCAACCAGAUAGUGCUGAGCAUCAGAACUUGGGGCACUCUGAGACUUUGGACCUCCAUCUUGAUUCCAUUCAACCAGCAACGUCACCCAAAGGAAGAUUUCAGAGGCUUCAAGAAGAGUCUGACUGUGUGACCCACUACACAAGAUCUGCACCAAAGAACAACCACUGCAGUUUUUGCUACAUGUUAAAAAUACUGUGCAUAGCUACUACUCUAUUUAUUUUUGGAAUUAUAAUAGGUUAUUAUGCACACAUGAAUUGUCCUUCUGAUGCCUCACCAUCAGGAACAAAUAACCCUCAGUUAUACCAAGAUAUUCUGAAGACAAUCAAAGCAGAAGAUAUAAAGAAAUCCUUCAGGUAGGUGUAGAGAAAUGAAUGUUAUUGGGAUAUGUUUCCUGGGAAGUAAAUCUAAGGAGAUAGCCUGAACUGGAUGCAUGCAUAAGAAAGUUUUUUAAGUGAAUGGACACAGCCUUCACCAGGAGGAGAAACUUCUGGAAGGAUUCACAGACUAAGAUUUAUAGUUCUGGGUUCUGCAAUAUCCAUUUAUGAUACAGCUUUAUGAACUGGUAAUGGUAACUACCACCACAAUGGCUCUAGCCUAAUCUUUUCCUCCAUUUGAGAAACACUGUUAGACCAUGUUGAGACACAAAGUCAGUUUGAAACAGAGGUAAUAAAAAUUAGGAUAUUUUUCAUAUG